UUGUUUACUUUAUUUAGUAGUACAUACAUUGACUUGUAGAGUCUGAAAUAAAAAAGGUAUCCAGUGCACAGGGUGAGUGGAUAUGAAGGGGUUCGAGCCACAAUGAAGUGCGCUCUUGUUCUUCAAUAAUGAUCCUUUCGCAGGUUCACCUACGAAAA
rnacentral:misc_RNA from 1 species